rnacentral:rRNA from 1 species
UAACCUGCCCAAGAGAUCGGGAUAACACCUGGAAACAGAUGCUAAUACCGGAUAACAACAGAUGAUGCCUAUCAACUGUUUAAAAGAUGGUUCUGCUAUCACUCUUGGAUGGACCUGCGGUGCAUUAGCUAGUUGGUAGGGUAACGGCCUACCAAGGCGAUGAUGCAUAGCCGAGUUGAGAGACUGAUCGGCCACAUUGGGACUGAGACACGGCCCAAACUCCUAAGGGAGGCAGCAGCC